rnacentral:rRNA from 1 species
GUGAGGAAUAUUGCGCAAUGGAGGCAACUCUGACGCAGCCAUGCCGCGUGCAGGAAGAAGGCGCUACGCGUUGUAAACUGCUUUUAACCGGGAAGAAACCCCAGGACGUGUCCUGGGUUGACGGUACCGGAGGAAUAAGCACCGGCUAACUUCGUGCCAGCAUCCGCGGUAAUACGAAGGGUGCAAGCGUUAUCCGGAUUCAUUGGGUUUAAAGGGUGCGUAGGCGGAGCGUUAAGUCAGUGGUGAAAUCCUGCAGCUUAACUGUAGACUUGCCAUUGAUACUGGCGCUCUUGAGUGCGCUUGAAGUGGGCGGAAUGUGCCGUGUAGCGGUGAAAUGCUUAGAUAUGGCACAGAACACCAAUUGCGAAGGCAGCUCACUAAGGCGAUACUGACGCUGAGGCACGAAAGCGUGGGGAUCGAACAGGAUUAGAAACCCUUGUAGUCC